rnacentral:rRNA from 1 species
AUUGAACGCUGGCGGCAGGCCUAACACAUGCAAGUCGAACGGUAACAGGAAGCAGCUUGCUGCUUCGCUGACGAGUGGCGGACGGGUGAGUAAUGUCUGGGAAACUGCCUGAUGGAGGGGGAUAACUACUGGAAACGGUAGCUAAUACCGCAUAACGUCGCAAGACCAAAGAGGGGGACCUUAGGGCCUCUUGCCAUCGGAUGUGCCCAGAUGGGAUUAGCUAGUAGGUGGGGUAACGGCUCACCUAGGCGACGAUCCCUAGCUGGUCUGAGAGGAUGACCAGCCACACUGGAACUGAGACACGGUCCAGACUCCUACGGGAGGCAGCAGUGGGGAAUAUUGCACAAUGGGCGCAAGCCUGAUGCAGCCAUGCCGCGUGUAUGAAGAGGGCCUUCGGGUUGUAAAGUACUUUCAGCGGGGAGGAAGGGAGUAAAGUUAAUACCUUGGCUCAUUGACGUUACCCGCAGAAGAAGCACCGGCUAACUCCGUG